CUGCCUGUGGGCUAAUUUACUGGAUCAGUAUCUUUAGUUUGCACGUAACCAUGGCUUGGCUUUGUAAGUUCCACUAGAGAAUGGCACAAGAAUAAAAAUAGAAGUGUCUGAGCUGCCUAAAUGUGAGCAUGGAUCUCACAGGACAUUGUAUUAUGUGCCAAAAGACUCCUCUGGGGAUCGGCUUGCCACACUCCACAUCUUCUCACUCUGCAAGGCUUGCAACUGUCCGCUCAGCCCCCACUGGUGGUGCUGCACUGGGAAGGAGUCAGAUCUCUGGGCUAUAGGCUCAUCCCUGGACAAAAGCACCAGAGGAAUGCUGUAAUGGAUAAUCUCACCAGAAAGAGAUGAAUGAGUGUCAAACAGACAAAAAUGUUUGAAUGAAGUUGUAUUCAGGAACAAAAACCUCUGUAAAGAAAGAAGAUGAGUAAAGCUAAGUACCUUUCUAAGAACCUGUGCUCUUGGUUGCCUGGCUGCAUUUCAUGCUGCCUGUUUACAACUGUGCAUGAUAUCUGCAAGCCAAGAAACAAGCUCUUAAGACUUUAGCAGGAGUUUUCUGAGAUCUUAGAAAGCUUGGAAAAAACAAAGAAGACAUAUAAACCUAGGCAAAGCUGGCUUUUUAAAACAAGUGGAAGAGCCUCUGGAGAACAGCCACUUCUUCUGACCACUGCAGCUCAGUCUGGAAGAUUAUUUUUUGGAUGUCAGUACUAACCUAGCGUCAUCAUCACACAACUCCUCUUGCCUCCUCCUCCAACAAACUCACAUUGUGGAUAAUAUAUCUUUGACUGGGGGAAGAUUGAGUUAAAUUAUGUAGUUAAUUAUGCAAAUUAAUUCCUACUAUAUUUUUAAUGAUCGCUCACUCAUAAAAUAUUUGAAUUACAUUUUCAAAGAAAUCACUGUGCUGGGGUACUAUGAGUCUUAAUUGGAUGUAAACAAGCCAAGAUCCAUUUCCUACCCUGCAACUGAUACAGUAAUUUUCAAGCAGUAAAGAGCCAUUUAAAUUCCCACUACUGCCACUGUCCUGCUUCUCAAAAUUCCAUUUGUAUUCACACAUCUACAAUAUCCUUGGAGUAAAUAAAACCAUUGACUUAAAAAAAAAAA